rnacentral:rRNA from 1 species
CCUACGGGAGGCAGCAGUGAGGAAUAUUGGUCAAUGGACGAGAGUCUGAACCAGCCAAGUAGCGUGAAGGAUGACUGCCCUAUGGGUUGUAAACUUCUUUUAUAUGGGAAUAAAAUGAUCCACGUGUGGGAUAUUGUAUGUACCAUAUGAAUAAGGAUCGGCUAACUCCGUGCCAGCAGCCGCGGUAAUACGGAGGAUCCGAGCGUUAUCCGGAUUUAUUGGGUUUAAAGGGAGCGUAGGUGGAUUGUUAAGUCAGUUGUGAAAGGUUGCGGCUCAACCGUAAAAUUGCAGUUGGAACUGGCAGGCUUGAGUGCAGUAGAGGUAGGCGGAAUUCGUGGUGUAGCGGUGAAAUGCUUAGAUAUCACGAAGAACUCCGAUUGCGAAGGCAGGUCACUGUACUGUAACUGACGCUGAGGCUCGAAGGUGUGGGUAUCAAACAGGAUUAGAUACCCGGGUAGUC